rnacentral:snRNA from 1 species
AAAUUAUGAAGAAAGAAUGACAAGAUCAUGCUACAAAGGUGGUUUUCUCAUGACAAGGCUUAUCAAUUACACUUCUGAUGUGCAGAUGUAUUCAGUUUCCCCAAAUGUGGGAAACUUGCCUGUAUAAUUCAGGAUAGUAGGAGACUGAGUACACGCUUUCCUU